ACGAACGCUGGCGGCGUGCUUAACACAUGCAAGUCGAACGGAAAGGCCCUGCUUUUGUGGGGUGCUCGAGUGGCGAACGGGUGAGUAACACGUGAGUAACCUGCCCUUGACUUUGGGAUAACUUCAUGAAACUGGGGCUAAUACCGGCUAGGAGCUCCUGCUGCAUGGUGGGGGUUGGAAAGUUUCGGCUGUUGGGGAUGGACUCGCGGCUUAUCAGCUUGUUGGUGGGGUAGUGGCUUACCAAGGCGUUGACGGGUAGCCGGCCUGAGAGGGUGACCGGCCACAGUGGGACUGAGAUACGGCCCAGACUCCUACGGGAGGAAGCAGUGGGGAAUAUUGCACAAUGGGCGGAAGCCUGAUGCAGCAACGCCGCGUGCGGGAUGACGGCCUUCGGGUUGUAAACCGCUUUCGCCUGUGACGAAGAGUGAGUGACGGUAAUGGGUAAAGAAGCACCGGCUAACUACGUG
rnacentral:rRNA from 1 species